GGUAUGUACUAGCCUGCCGAUUCCUCCUUCUUGUAGAACCGUAAUGCCAUUAAUUUGGUGUUGCGGGGAAACAGGACUGUUACUUUGAAAAAAUUAGAGUGUUUAAAGCAGGCUGGCGCCUGAAUACAUUAGCAUGGAAUAAUGAAAUAGGACGUUCGAACCUAUUUUGUUGGUUUCUAGGAUUGACGUAAUGAUUAAUAGGGAUAGUUGGGGGCAUUAGUAUUCAAUUGUCAGAGGUGAAAUUCUUGGAUUUAUUGAAGACUGACUACUGCGAAAGCAUUUGCCAAGGAUGUUUUCAUUAAUCAAGAACGAAAGUUAGGGGAUCGAAGACGAUCAGAUACCCGUCGUAGUCUUAACCAUAA
rnacentral:rRNA from 1 species